AUGGUUGUGAGGGUGGUGGUUGCUUUGGACGAUCGUUGGGGGUCUUGCAGUGUGACGCGAAAUCAAAAAACCACCACCUUUCGGUUUUUUUGCAAAAAACCGCCACUUUUAUUUUUGCAUCAAACUACUGUAAGCAACACAUUAGUGUAUGAAACUUCAGCACAUUUUUGGCUGGUACUGGAAUAUUGUGUUGGUGGAGACCUCAAGGGCUUGCUCGAGCAGGAUAAGAAGCUGCCUAAAAGUGCCAUGCAUGACCUGGCUUACGAUCUUGUUAAAGCCCUCCUGUUCUUGCAUUCACAAGGAAUUAUCUAUUGUGAUCUGAAGCCAUCUAACAUCCUACUUGAUGAGUUUGGAUGCAUGAAGCUGUGUGAUUUUGGAUUAGCAAGACGUUUAAAUGACAUCGAGAAGAUCGACCCUGGAGAUGUGCCACAACCUAUGAGGGGGACACCAUGUUACAUGGCUCCUGAGUUGUUCCAAGAGGCAGGGGACAGCUCAUAUGCUUCUGAUUUCUGGGCUCUUGGUUGUGUGCUAUACGAAUGCUAUGUAGGAAGACCUCCUUUCGUGGGCCGUGAAUUUACCCCGCUAGUCAAAUCCAUACUUUCAGAGCCUGCACCACCUUUACCUGAUAACUCGUCAAGGUCUUUCCAGAAUCUGAUCAACUGCUUACUCAUGAAAGACCCAGCUGAAAGACUACAGUGGUCUGAACUAUGUGCACGCAACUUCUGGAGAAACAGUAUGCCAAUGAUUCCGUUACCUCCUCAACCUGCCUUCGACAACAUGGUUGGAUUUCCCACUACACCAUAUCUAGCUGAGCGAAAUGGGGAUAAACCCUCCAGACACCUGACACCACCCAAGGCUCGUGAACACCUACGCAAGAACGAUGAAAAUUCUGCCAGGUGUUCACAACCCCUGUUAAGAAUAAUGUCUCGCAUAGCUAAGAAAAAUUUGCAAAGGGUAAAAGACAAGGAGAACUACAGGCGUCCUCCCACAGAAACAGACGAAAAUGAGGCUGAAGUUAAGAUAGGAAAUGAUGACAUGGAGCUUGAUUUUGGUGAAAAUCCAGAAGGCGAUGCACCUGAUGAUAAUGAUGGAUCAGAUAAUGCUGGAUCCACAGCAGAUGAAAUGCAUACGACCGAAGGAACUGAUGGAAAUGAAGAGAACUGCAUAAAUCAGGUGGAUAUGCUCACGGAUAAGUGUUCUGUUAAGCCUGAUACCAUGAAAGCACGUCCGAAGAUACCGUCUGCUGCUGCAACGGGUUCUGAGCCGUCUAACAUAUUUGAAGCAUUCUGGCAUCCAACAGAUCUUGCUGUUAAACCAACUGUCACUGUGCUUCCUUUUGAAGCUCUCCCUGCUGCUGAUUACAUCAGGUUACCACGAGAACAGAUGAAUGCAUUCCAUAGCCAGAUAAUUCAGAGUUUGAGUGGAUCUUUUCAGGUUGCUUCACUUAUGGGACUGUUGAUACGCUACUCCACUAUCCUUGAUGCAGAGCUAGCUAGUUCAGGAAUUGUUAAUGCCUUGUCAGAUGGCUUAAGGGACCAGCAUGAUAAACUGAGGAGAUUCUGUAUGGCAACACUUGGAGAAUUACUUUCUGUAAUCGCACUGGUGUCACCUAUCUUGCGUAAAGGGGAAGACGAUCUAGCCCAGCUUUAUGCCUUACAGACAAUUGAUAAUAUAUGUAGCCAAGGAACAGAUUGGACAUCACGGUUUGAUUCCCGAGAUGUAAUUGGUCAUCUUUGCUACAUCUAUAAAGCAACUGGGAAGCAGGAGAAUACAAGGCUUAUUGCAAUUUCUUGUUUGAGCCGCCUAGCUCGAUUCAGUUCGUCAUGUAGUCAUUUAAUACUGAGAAGCAACAGGGAACUGACACUGCGUAGGAAAGCCCUUCUAUUUGUUGCUCUUCUUUGCAAGAACACAGUCGAUAGAUUGGGAAAGGAGAAGGAUGGUUUCAUUCAUCAAUGUACAGAAGCAUUUGUUCAGUUAGUUGCUUUGUUGGUCCCAGGCAUUCUUGACACUGUAUCCAGUGAUAUACAGCAGGUCAUGGGCGGCAAACGUGCUCAUCCAAGGAGCACAAUUCAUUUGUUCCGUGUCAUCCUUCAUCUUCUUGGGAGUGUAUCCUUCAAUCACAGAGUUGUGACAAGUCAAGUAUUGCUCCAGUUGGCUAAUCUUAUGAAGAUAUUGGAGACACCAUUUAAGGCUCGGGAUGAUUUCCAAAUGACAUUGCUGAGGGUUCUUGACGCAGCUACUUUGGAGCCUUCUGUUAUACUUAGGGAACACAAAAUAUUCACAAGUCGAUUCCUUCCAAGCUUAUCCAUCUUCUACAAGGGCAAUAAAGAUUGUGAUGCCAGAUUCCUGUGUUUGAAGAUACUGUCUGAUGUGAUGAUUGUGAUCUUCAGUGAUUCUUCAUUGACUGCAGACGAACAAUGUUUAGCUGACCUGAAAACAAUCUCUCACAAAUAUUUUCUCCCAAUGUACCCUUCAUUUGCAGAGGAUGAAGAUCCAAUACCUAUGUAUGCACAGAAACUUCUAGUAAUGCUGAUGGAACAUGAUUCGACAGUAUCCCAGUGCUUUGAAUUCUUGCUUGGAGAUCUUACAAAUGCAAACGUAAGCAAUGUCAAGCUUUGUUUUGCUCUGGCAUCUUCUCCCGACAUGGACUCCAAUAUCCUUUCGCAGCUUCAAGUUGUCAGAAGAAUAGGGAAUCUACUUGAGUUUGCGACUGCCAAAGAUAUGGAUGAUUUUCUGGAACCAACCUUGGAGCUCUGCAGAGCUUUCAUUAUCUGUGGCAUCGGCAGCAACAGAAGUAUCGUCCUCACCAAAGAACCUGCACUCCUCGUUGAUGGUGCCUUCAGCAUGAGCAUUGCUGUUGAUCAACAAUCUUACAUCGUGGACAUAUGCGACCUUGGUGGCAGUAUGGAUUGCGUGGUGUUGCUGCUCAAGGCAGCACCUCGAGAGGCCACAAUGGGCUUGCUGACAAAUCUUCCUAAGCUGAGCGCUCUUCUGGACUCGUUGAAGCAUGGCGCCCCCCUGCCGCUGACUCGCCUGCUAUACAGCCUAGCAUUCUCUUGUAGACAGUAUCUAACCCAAGGAAUGAUACUCCCAAUAUCAGUGCCAGCUCUGAUGCGAGUAGAAGCGCUUGUCUCAUCUCUUGCUGAUGCUGCUUCGUGUGUGGGUGCUGAAUUGCAGUGCCUACCUCGGCAGAGAUGUGGUGAAGGAGCCGGUCAGUUGGCUGCCAUUACAUAA
rnacentral:rRNA from 1 species